GCUGUCCCACCUGCUCGGGCCUUACAGAGCUUCCGCUGCUCGGCCAUGCUCCUGCUGCUCGUCCUGGUGCUUGAGGUGAUGUUUGCCCUUGGAGGAACUGGAGCCCACUCCGUGACCCAGCCCGAUGGCCACAUCACUGUCUCUGAAGGAGCCCCUCUAGAGCUGAGGUGCAACUAUUCAUUUUCUUAUUCGUCGUAUCUCUUCUGGUAUGUGCAAUACCACAACCAAGGAUUCGAGCUUCUGCUGAAGUAUGUUCCAGGGAACACCCCGGUUAAAGGCAUCAAAGGUUUUGAGGCAGAAUUUAAGAAGAGUGAAUCCUCCUUCCACCUGAAAAAAUCCUCAGCCCAUUUGAGAGAUUCGGCUGAGUACUUCUGUGCCACCAGUGACACAGUGCCUGAGUCCGCAAGGGGAGGCGUUCACAAACCCCCUGAGAUGCUGGGAUCUUCUGUGACUCAACAACUGAACCUGGAGAGUUUUCAAGAAUGUGCCUUUUUUUUGGUGCCUCCUUUGAAGACAAAUAGGGCAGAGUAG